GCAGUGAGAAUGAGUCUGACUCCUGAACAGAGGGCUGGGGUUCUCUUAAUGAGAGACAGAGAGAAACAGACCCAUGUGACCUUCUCUGGGGUGUAGGUUUGGCUGUGAGGCAGUGAUGAUCCAGAACAGGGAUUGAAACUAGAAGUGACACUGUGUAGUUUCAGGAAAAGAUUGAAUGAAGUAUCUUCGUUUGGCUGUGAGGCAGUGAUGAUCCAGAACAGGGAUUGAAACUAGAAGUGACACUGUGUAGUUUCAGGA